rnacentral:rRNA from 1 species
GGGAGUACGGCCGCAAGGUUAAAACUCAAAUGAAUUGACGGGGGCCCGCACAAGCGGUGGAGCAUGUGGUUUAAUUCGAUGCAACGCGAAGAACCUUACCUACUCUUGACAUCCUGCGAACUUGUGAGAGAUCACUUGGUGCCUUCGGGAGCGCAGAGACAGGUGCUGCAUGGCUGUCGUCAGCUCGUGUUGUGAAAUGUUGGGUUAAGUCCCGUAACGAGCGCAACCCUUGUCCUUAUUUGCCAGCGGGUAAUGCCGGGAACUCUAAGGAGACUGCCGGUGACAAACCGGAGGAAGGUGGGGACGACGUCAAGUCAUCAUGGCCCUUACGAGUAGGGCUACACACGUGCUACAAUGGCCGGUACAAAGGGUUGCGAGCUCGCGAGAGUCAGCUAAUCCCGAAAAGCCGGUCUCAGUCCGGAUCGGAGUCUGCAACUCGACUCCGUGAAGUCGGAAUCGCUAGUAAUCGUGAAUCAGAAUGUCACGGUGAAUACGUUCCCGGGCCUUGUACACACCGCCCGU